rnacentral:rRNA from 1 species
CCUACGGGAGGCAGCAGUGGGGAAUCUUGCACAAUGGGGGAAACCCUGAUGCAGCGACGCCGCGUGAGUGAAGAAGUAUUUCGGUAUGUAAAGCUCUAUCAGCAGGGAAGAAAUAAAGUCCUUCGGACUUUGGACGGUACCUGACUAAGAAGCCCCGGCUAACUACGUGCCAGCAGCCGCGGUAAUACGAAGGGGGCAAGCGUUAUCCGGAUUUACUGGGUGUAAAGGGAACGUAGACGGCAGCGCAAGUCUGGAGUGAAAUCCCAUGGUGUAACCAUGGAACUGCUUUGGAAACUGUGCAGCUGGAGUGCAGGAGAGGUAAGCGGAAUUCCUAGUGUAGCGGUGAAAUGCGUAGAUAUUAGGAGGAACACCAGUGGCGAAGGCGGCUUACUGGACUGUAACUGACGUUGAGGCUCGAAAGCGUGGGGAGCAAACAGGAUUAGAUACCCUAGUAGUC